rnacentral:lncRNA from 1 species
CAAAGGCUCUUGCCCCAGGCCGUUACUGACCUCGCAUGUUCCUGGUUUUAGACGUGACUCCCAACAGACACAUGAGAGACCAUGGGCCUAACCAGAUGAGUGGGCCAUAAGGACAAGGUCUACAUCAAGAAAGCAGUCAUCUGGAAGCCAGAGGGGCAUCACUGAGAAACCCAUGCAAGGCUCUCAAGGAGGGGAGAAGAUGAGCUUUAACCCUGCGUGGGAGGACAGACAUCGAUGUUGCUGUGAUGGUACAAGCUGAGUGCUGGGGCUAGAAAACAUGCCCUAAGCCGUAGUGCCAGUGGGAGUGCUACACCGCUUCCAGUGCCCUAGUCCUCUCUUCGCUAUAAAUCUCCACUAACCGGAUUUGAUGCUUUUGGUCAGAGUUUUGGAGAGACACAAAGUACCCAUGUCUUCAAAUGAAGUCCAGGAAGAUUGCGGGAAACCAGGCCACACACACUCUAGUGUGCUCUGGCUAAAAGAGCAGAGAAUCCUUCCUUAGAGCCGGAGGCCUAAGUGGAUAAGGCUGGCCACUGAGCGGCGAUUUUGACAACAUGAACUGAAGCAUACACAGUGAGAAGCAGCUGGCCAAGGGGAAUGGCCGACCUGCAUGUCCAGCUGUUGUGGUCAAGUAUUCAUGGUUGGCGAAAGAAGGAAAAACUACAGAGUGUUGCUCUAGCUUUGGUCUUGCCCGAGCAGGUGUCUAUUCUGCCCUCUGAAGACAAGAUCUUAAAGACACAAAGCCUUCUCCAACCCUCCUUUGGUGAUGUGGCCUUGGCAACUAAUGCAAGUGACUUAACAUGGACACAUUCAUUCUGGAGGCUAAGGAGGGACUGUGGCCAUGGAGCACUGGAGUCAGUCCAUACUGGCUCACAAGAGCUGACUGUUAAUUUUUCCAGAACUUUGUGAGCUGGUUGUUAAAGACAUACAUCAUUUGAAAUUAAAUGACAUAAACUAACCAUUACCUCACACUAAAAACAAGGGCACUGGCUGCUCAAAACUGACUACUUGUUAGUUAUUUUGUAUUUUCUGUGUACCUGUGCUCUUGAGGUUAUGGGCCUAACGGCAAUGUCAUGAACAGAGGAUCACUGAGGGUGUCUUCCCCAGGCCAUAGAAGCCAGCACCCAGCUCCCUAUUCUCUGAACCCGGAUGCUAAACAGC